CGUCUCUAAGCUAUGGUAGAGACGCGGCGUACGGCUCAGUAACACGUGGCUAACCUACCCUUAGGACGGGGACAACCCCGGGAAACUGGGGCUAAUACCCGAUAGGCGAGGAGGCCUGGAAUGGUUCUUAGUCGAAAAGGCGUUGAAACCAUGCUUUUCGACGUUGCCUAAGGAUGGGGCCGCGCCCGAUCAGGUUGUUGGUGGGGUAACGGCUCACCAAGCCUAUAACCGGUACGGGCCGUGAGAGCGGGAGCCCGGAGAUGGGCACUGAGACAAGGGCCCAGGCCCUACGGGGCGCAGCAGUCGCGAAAACUCCGCAAUGCGCGAAAGCGUGACGGGGCUACCCCGAGUGCCGUCCGCUGAGGAUGGCUUUUCCCCGGUGUAAUGAGCCGAGGGAAUAAGGAGAGGGCAAGUCUGGUGUCAGCCGCCGCGGUAAUACCAGCUCUCCGAGUGGUAGGGAUGAUUAUUGGGCUUAAAGCGUCCGUAGCCGGCUUAGCAAGUCUCCUGUUAAAUUCAGCGACCUAAUCGUUGAGCCGCGGGAGAUACUACUAGGCUAGGAGGCGGGAGAGGCCGACGGUAUUCUCGGGGUAGGGGUGAAAUCCUAUAAUCCCGGGAGGACCACCAGUGGCGAAGGCUGUCGGCUAGAACGCGCUCGACGGUGAGGGACGAAAGCUGGGGGAGCGAACCGGAUUAGAUACCCGGGUAGUCCCAGCUGUAAACGAUGCGGGCUAGGUGUUGGGGUGGCUACGAGCCACUUCAGUGCCGCAGGGAAGCCAUUAAGCCCGCCGCCUGGGGAGUACGGCCGCAAGGCUGAAACUUAAAGGAAUUGGCGGGGGAGCACCACAAGGCGUGAAGCUUGCGGUUCAAUUGGAUUCAACGCCG
rnacentral:rRNA from 1 species